ACAACCUGUUAUAUCUCCUCACAACAGCUUAUAAAACACUUCUUCUGGUGGGCCAGAAGAAAACAUGAAGCUGCUGAUCCUGAGCAAGUUGCAAUGUUACCUGGAGCUUCUGUCAUUAAGGGCCAAGUAAGGCUGCAGAGUGCUUGGGUAUAUGAUCAUAGCUACAGAAGUGCCAGUAGAGGCUGUUCUGCCACAAAUGAAACAAAUAAAGUUAGGAAGCUGUGUGGCACAUAGACUCGAGGUAAAUUCUAGAAGGGAUGAAAGGAGGCUGGUGAUAAUGAUGAAAGUAGAGAAUAGAGUUUUCAAAGCAUCAUCACUUGCUAUGAGAAGCAGAGGGGGGACACUUCUGGCAGGUCCAAAAAAAGGUGCCAUGCAUGAUUAAAAUUUCUUGAAAGAACGACAGGGGUGAAAAGGCAAAUGACAGAAAUGGCAAAGCACUAACAAAAAAUAAGCUAAUGUAUAACAAGACAAAGAAGAGGAGCAUGGUUGGAGGGAAGAAAAGGGUUUGAAGUAAGCCACAAAGUAAUAUGAAAUGAAAAGCAACAGGGUAAAUCUUGGCAGAUCUGCGUGACAGGGCAAGGGAUGUGGCUAGGGAAAAAAUGAGGUAGGUGAAACACAGGGCAGAGAAAGGGACAAAAAAAAAGAGAAACAGCUUAUUGAAGAAGAGGAGAAACCUUGAAUGAGGGAAAGAAAAGGAGUAAAGGAGAUGAAGAGAAAAGGAGGAAAGGGGAAGGCAAGUUACUGGGGAGAUGGAGAGAUACCACUUGCACUGGCCUGAAGUCCACACUGGCCUCUUGCUCUCCUGAGACUCAGUACUGCUGGAGCAAGUGGUGUCCAGACACAGCUCAAACUGAUCCCAGAAAGCAAUGCCUUGGGAGCUGCAGGCUCACUGGCUCUGGCUCACCACUGAUAAUGUGGCAAUGCCUUCAACAGGCAUUUUACAGUCUUACCAUGCACUCCACAUGUCUGAUCUAAAGACAGCUUGCACUAGCAAGAUUUGUUUAUGCAAAUGGGUUACUAUUUGGAGAUAAGAAUGAGGCAAAAUUACUGGUUAGGGAAUGGUAGGGACAUGACUAACAACAUGAAGUGAGUCCCUUAGGUAAGGUUAAACAAACAUGAUCUCUAGAUCUUUUACAGUGGAAUCUCUUCUGUUGAGAGCUGUUUGUCUGAAAGGUGGUUUUAAUGCUGUUCAGGGAGAUUUUAGUGUUAAAAGAGAUUUUUUUCCCCCCAGCAGUUAGCUCUGGCAGAACAACAUGGCUCAGCUCCAGGAUAGUCCUUUUCCUAUCGCUCAUCCUCUCUAGUAGAUUCUGCAAGUCUAAUUAGCAACACAGGCUUUGGCCCUUUUGUUGGCACAACGAUGUUUUGACUUUUAGUGAGCUUCUGCAUCAUUCUAGUGACCCCCCCAGAGCUUGGUGGCUUUCCAAGAGCCUGAGCAGUUGGGAAAACAGCAAACAGCUCUCUUGCCAGUGCUCCGGAACUCAGCUCCUUUCUGUAGGAGUUUUGGCACUCUGAACCCAACAGGCAGAAAAAGCCUUGCAAUCUCUGCAGGUUUUGCAGAUGGCUGACUGCAAACUGUGAACGGGUCUGCAAGGGAUUGUGAUCCAAAUCCUACCCUGACCUACACGCUCAUCAUCCCUGGAAGAAUCCUGGAAACCCACAGUCACGAUCCGUGUACACCCGCAGGAUGGAUAACCCUCCAGGUCAUGACAGGCAUCCCUCAGGAUUCUUCCAGCCAACAAAUCUACUAGAAAACCAGGAUGCCUUUAAUAUUGCCAUUUCAGCUUCAAGAAACCUAAACAUUUACAUCAACAGGAAAGCAGAACAACUGAAAAAAAUUCUAGACAAACAAGAAGGAAAAUAGGAUAAUUAUAGAGGUCACCAUCUGGUAUUUCAGCAGCUUCCAGUUUAAUCACACACUGACCCUGGGAUGAACAUUGCUGCUUGACUAAGCCCUCCACUGACUGCAAAGAGUUGGGGGCAUGCUUCCCCAGGAGGAGAUUACCCUGUUACUGCCCACAGCAUGGUUUCUCAGAGUUUCCUGCAAAGCAUUUUGUACUGGACACACUUUUUUGUCCCUGUUAAUCUGAAAACAGGGCUCUGCAUCAGCAGUGAGAGUAGCAGGAUUGGCAGUAGCAAUCCUGAUGAUCACCAAAGUCAAGCCUAGAGCAAAACUGGGAGCAAAGCCCCGGGGAUGCUCAGGGGAAGCAGGGCUGCUCUGUUACCUCAUGCUGUAGAGGACAUGCCCAUCGGGGAACACUCGCAGCAUGAUGUUGUCCGUGGUGGUGUCAUGAAUGAAGGACCUCUUGGAAUGCACAAAGAAGACAUCAGGCACCCAGAUCUUCUUCACCAGCCUGCCAUCAAAGGUCAUGCUCUUGUUGUUGGUGCUGGGAAACGAGAGACGCUCAUCCUUCCAGUAGUGCCUUAAGUACAAGGUCAUAGUGAAAUCCUUCAAAAUAGGGAAGAGAACAAUAAAGGAAGAGAGUUCUGUCAGUGCUGCGCUCUACAACUAGGGCACACCAGAAAGAAAACUCACUCCCACCUGAUAGAUGAGAUCUCUCCACUCUCAACUCCUGAUUCUUUCCUAGGUCAAUGUUCUCUGUCAGUAGAUUUUCCCAACAAAAUAAUUUCAACCAAAACAAAGCAUAGCCUAAUAAUGACUUUAUUACAGUACCCAGUAAUGUUCAGUCCCAAACAGGAUAUAAACAUGCCCCAAGAGAAGCAACGCUAUGCAGAAAUGAUUCUUCAAUUCUGGCAAAAUUAUCUUAGAGGACUAUGGUAGCAGUAUGAUGAUCAAGAGGAAAACCUGAAAGUUAGUUCAAUGGUCAGGCUAAACACUAAGCAAUUUAUCCCCAAAAGUACUAAACCAGGACACAGUGACAACCAGUUACCCUAACUCUCUGCUUCAAAGGGCUGUCUCACAACAGCCAUGCAUUUCCAGUAGGUUUUUCAUUAAUUUGUCAGAGAAGGCUCUGGUGCCAGACCUCACCUUGCUGCCCAGCACAGACCUCUCUGACCAUGGCAGAGACUGGCCAGGGGGACACUUCUGCUCACCCACCUGCAAGUCCCCACCUUAUCAGACUGGUCCCAGGCUCCCUCACUGCUUAUCCCAGGGAUGCUGCCAGCUCCUGUUCCCUACUGGACACUGGCCACCUUCCCCUUACAUCUACAGUCCCAAAGAAACACUUCCAGCAACUACUGCCACUGGCAGAGCUUAGGUUGCAUCCCAGCUAGAAGAAUCAGCCUCGGGGGCUGGACAUCAAGCUCAUCAGUUUGACUAGAGCUGGGAAAAAGGGAACCAAGGAAGAGGCACAACUUCUGGUUUCUUAGGAGUCAGUGCAAGUUAUGGUAGAAGUCAGAAAAGGAAUAAAGAAGAACCUGGCAAUUUAGGGUUUCCAGUUGCCUGGCCAUGACAUGAGAUAGAGGGACAUGGGGCUGCAGGAGAGGAGGACCAUUCUCAUGUUCAACUCCAGCCAGCACCUCAGUACAACACAGACACUUGCUCAUUCCUCUCUCCCACCACCUCCAGCCAAUCUUAUGGGGAGUAGACUUAGAAGAAGCUGUGUUGAGAUAAAAACAGUUUAGAAAUUGAAAUAAAUAGUAAUAAGAAGAAUAAUGAAAGGAAGAUGAAAAGAUAUAGAGAGGCAAAACUCCAGAGAAACAAGCGAUGCACAAUGUAGUUGCUGACAGAUGCCCAGCAUGUCCUCCAGCAGUGAUCCACCCCUCCCAGCCAACUCCCCACAUUUAUACACUGGGCAAGAUGUUCUGUAGUGUGGAAUAUCCCUUUGGCCAGUUCAGGUCAGCUGUCCUGGCCGUGCUCCCUCCUGGCUUCUUGUGCCCCUCCUCAGGAGCAGAGCAGGAGACACUGGAAAGUCCUUGACUCAGGGUAAGCACUGCUGAGCCACAACAAAAGCACUGUGUUAUCAGUAUCAUUCUCAGACUAAAUCCAAAACAUAGCACUGUACCAGCUACUAAGAAGAAAAUUGGCUCUAUCCAGGCAAAACCAGGACAGCCAGGCAGCCUGAGGCUGUGGCUGCAAAAUGCCUCUGGGCAGCUCCAUCAUCAGAGCACAGGGGAACGGGGACCAGGCAGGCACCCUCAGCAUUGCUUACAACCACUGUAGAGGAGGGAGAAGAGACUGUCUGAAGGCACAACACAAGAGGGAACUUACUGCUUUCCACCCCUCUCCCUGUCCUAAAAGACUGGAGCUUCUCAUCUUUCACCUUCAGCCCCUUUCUGUCUCCAAAGAGCCAACACAGCGGCCCCUGCAAUGGCCAACUCUUCUCUCUCUCCAGCGGCCAACACGGUGCACCAAAUGCUGCCAACACAAAGUGGCAGCUGACAACACCUUCUAAGUAUGAAAUCCAGCUUAAGGAGGCUUUGCCAUGACAUGAUUCAAAAGAGGCAGUGUGCUGACUGCUUGUUCCUUUCUAACCAGCACACACACUAUUUACAAGCAAGAAAAGGGGUUUAUUUCAGCACCAACAAAUAGGAAAGUCCCUCGGAAAACAAGGUUUUACAGCAAAUUGGGAGAAUGAUAGUACAUGCCAGAGGCACAGCCAAUGAGUCUACACAAGCACCUCAAUUUUGGCAGCCUAUUUCAUGUUUGUUCCAAGCUCCAGGCAGCCUCAAGAGCAUGUCCUGCUACUGCACACAGCAGCAGCCCAUCCACACCAACCAGACAGGCACCAGUUUUAAACCCACAUGCCUUUAAACAGCCCCUGGCUGCUCUCACUGUCAUGCACAGCCUUGCAGAUACAGUGGGUUGGGGCUGGUGAUGCUUCAGUCUGGUCUUUCUUUGGGGCACCAGGUACCUCCUCAAGCAGUGACAGGUAAGGCCUGCCCAGCCCAGGGCACCUGAUUUUCAAGGCCACUUCAGAGCAGCUUGAAACAAGCCCUGCCUGCAGCUCUGC